GGGGGACCGUUCGGGCCUCUCGCGUCAGGAUAUGACCCCAGGUGAGAUUAGCUAGUUGGUGAGGUAAUGGCUCACCAAGGCGACGAUCUCUAGCUGGUCUGAGAGGAUGAUCAGCCACACUGGGACUGAGACACGGCCCAGACUCCUACGGGAGGCAGCAGUGGGGAAUAUUGCACAAUGGGCGCAAGCCUGAUGCAGCCAUGCCGCGUGCGUGAAGAAGGCUUUCGGGUUGUAAAGCACUUUCAGUGGGGAGGAAGGCCUCGUAGUUAAUAGCUGCGAGGAUUGACGUUACCCACAGAAGAAGCACCGGCUAACUCCGUG
rnacentral:rRNA from 1 species